AGAGAGAGAGAGAGAGAGAGAGAGUCAAUGUUCUGUGUCUAAAAACUGCAACAGAUUAACGUUAACAGGCUGACUGAUUUUACCAGCUUAAGCUGAUAAUCCGUUUUGUCAUUGAAGUAGAGCCCAAAGUGUACCGUUUGAAUUGCAUGUGCAUCAACAACACAAUCAGUGAAGGUGACAGAUGAACAAAUCUGUAAAUUUGGGUAUCAAGGAAUGACCAAGUUUUACGGUUUUCAUAUUACCACCCAGUGAUCAGGAACUGUAUCCUCGUUAUAUUGGCUUCAAAGAAGAAGGCAAACAAAACCAUUUACUCCCACUACCAGUGAACAAUUAGGAAUCAAAGACACGCACACUUCUAUACUCUUUUCCAGAAUAUGAUGUAACGGAAAUGAAAUGUAGUUUUGAGAGAAGAGAAUCAAUUAACAAGGUUACAGAGGAAAUGGGACAGAGAGAUGUUAAUAAUUACUGUACUUGAGGUUUUGUUUGAGUAAAAAUUAAUCAACUUGAGCUCAAGGUGGAAAGCGAACAAAUUGGGUAUUUUGCACAGACGUUCAGAACAAAUUGCAAAUAACAGUAAAGCAGCAGUUUUCUAGCGCUGGGAUGAUCUAUGAACAUGUAAUAUAUUGCUAAACACGAUAAUCAUUUACUUUUGAUUCAUAGAUAUUUUGUAUAUUUUCAUAUCUUAAAAUAAAAAAGGACCUAAAAUGAU